rnacentral:tRNA from 1 species
UAGCUCAGCUGGGAGAGCACCUCCCUUACAAGGAGGGGGCCGGCGGUUCGAUCCCGUC